GACGAACGCUGGCGGCGUGCUUAACACAUGCAAGUCGAACGAAGUGGCGAACGGGUGAGUAACGCGUAAUCAACCUGCCCAUCGGAGGGGGACAACAGUUGGAAACGACUGCUAAUACCGCAUACGGAAGGAGGGGACUGCGGCUGAUUGGCUCGUUGGGGGGGGGACGGCCCACCAAGGCGAUGAUCAGUAGGCGGUCUGAGAGGAUGAACGGCCACAUUGGGACUGAGAAACGGCCCAGACUCCCACGGGAGGGAGGAGUGGGGAAUCUUCCGCAAUGGACGAAAGGCUGACUGAGCAACGCCGCGGGAGUGAUGGCGGCCUUCGGGUUGGAAAGCUCUGUUAAUCGGGACGCGGUACCGGAAGAGAAAGCCACGGCUAACUACGUGCCAGCAGCCGCGGUAAUAC
rnacentral:rRNA from 1 species